AGCGAACGCUGGCGGCAGGCCUAACACAUGCAAGUCGAACGAACUCUUCGGAGUUAGUGGCGGACGGGUGAGUAACACGUGGGAACGUGCCUUUAGGUUCGGAAUAACUCAGGGAAACUUGUGCUAAUACCGAAUGUUCCCUUCGGGGGAAAGAUUUAUCGCCUUUAGAGCGGCCCGGGUCUGAUUAGCUAUUUGGUGAGGUAAAGGCUCACCAAGGCGACGAUCCGUAGCUGUUCUGAGAGGAUGAUCAGCCACAUUGGGACUGAGACACGGCGCAAACUCCAACGGGAGGCAGCAGUGGGGAAUCUUGCGCAAUGGGCGAAAGCCUGACGCAGCCAUGCCGCGUGCAUGAUGAAGGUCUUAGGAUUGUAAAAUUCUUUCACCGGGGACGAUAAUGACGGUACCCGGAGAAGACGCCCCGGCUAACUUCGUGCCCGCCGCCGCGGUAA
rnacentral:rRNA from 1 species